GGUUAAGCGACUAAGCGUACACGGUGGAUGCCCUGGCAGUCAGAGGCGAUGAAGGACGUGCUAAUCUGCGAUAAGCGCCGGUAAGGUGAUAUGAACCGUUAUAACCGGCGAUUUCCGAAUGGGGAAACCCAGUGUGACUCGUCACACUAUCAUUAACUGAAUCCAUAGGUUAAUGAGGCGAACCGGGGGAACUGAAACAUCUAAGUACCCCGAGGAAAAGAAAUCAACCGAGAUUCCCCCAGUAGCGGCGAGCGAACGGGGAGGAGCCCAGAGCCUGAAUCAGCAUGUGUGUUAGUGGAAGCGUCUGGAAAGGCGCGCGAUACAGGGUGACAGCCCCGUACACAAAAGCGCA
rnacentral:rRNA from 1 species